UUGCUGGACGAAGGGAGGGGCGUGGUCAGGCGAGAGGGGGCGUGGCGAGGCCUGCUGGCUUCCUGGCUCGCUACAAGCAGAAGCAGCGGCGGCGGCGGCGUUGGUGGGAUUUUUGUUGGUGCUAUUUGCUGGAGAGACACGGAGGGUUUCAUUCGCGGACAGGGACACCCUGUAGCAGCUGCGGAGACCUCGGCAUCACCGCCGCUGACAGACAGACGCUGUCAAACCCACAACCCCAGCGCUCUCCAAGCCAGAAUCGGGCGCUCACCAUAUCGGCGUGCCGGAGACUCCAGCAACACCGCUGCUACCGUCGCCAUCGUCGUUGAGAAGAGGACGAGGAGUGGGGGAGGAAGAGGAGGGGGAGCGUACGGAGGGGUUGGAAGAGGUGGACGAGGUGGUGGUGGUGGUGGAAGCGGGAGCUGAGGAGCUCCCCUCCCACCUCCUCCCCAGGUGUGGCCGUGCUGCGAUGCCACACCUGGGCCGUGCCACCCUCCUGGGGCAGCAGCAGCAGCAGCAGCACCACAACAACAACAACCACAACCACCAUAACCACCACCACCACAACCACCACCACCUCCUCCCACCUCUUCCACCGGCGCCAGGCGGUGGAGUUGGCGGUGCCGCCGGCGGCAGCGGCGGCGGCGGCGCCGGUGGGCCACCGCCAUUACCACCGCCCACCUUACCCCACCACCACCACCACCACCACCACCUCCCGCCACACCACGCGGCCGACGACCUGGGAGCCGUGGACGAGAUGCUCCCCUUCAAGGACGAGGGCGACGAGGGGGGCGAGGAGGAGGGCGGCGGCG